rnacentral:lncRNA from 1 species
AGUGAGGAAAAAAGAUUUUUUUGUAGCUUCUUGUGAUUAAUCUCCAUAUUUUUGCCGAGAAGUUACACUAUGGUCCCGGUUCUCUGUCACAGGACUAGGCAUACACAAAGUAAACAUUUUGUCUCAGUUAAAGUUGAGAUAUGGUAACAGUAGAAUGAUCAUUGUUCAAAUUUGAUAUUUCAUCUUGUUUUUUUUGUCAGCGAUAUUUCAUCUUGUUUAUUCAAGAGAUUUUAAUAUAUAUGUAUAAUAAUUUAUCUUCCAAUAAUUCAAAGUUCAAACUAUUUUUGCAUUCCUUGUUUUUAUCAUUGCCCAGAUUACAUUCUAGUUAUCCCUAAUAAAAAGAUGAGAUGGACCUUUUACUCCUUUUAUUUAAUUAACAGUAAAUUACCAAUUCCACUAGGCGCGAGAUGAACAUUAUAUAUAAAAAUUAUUUUAUGUAUUAAAUAUUUUUACA